GGGGUUGUAGCUCAGUGGUAGAGUGAAUGCCUAGCAUGCAUGAGGCACUGGGUUCAAUUCUCAGUACCG
rnacentral:tRNA from 1 species